rnacentral:lncRNA from 14 species
CUGAGCUGUAUGAACAGGCAGUGGCUUCUCCUUGCCAGUAUCCUACAGAGAAGACAGUCACUACACAAGUAGAGGACCAGCAGCAGAGGUUCAGCCUGGAAGGACUAACACCAGUGUCCAAGUGGCAGAGGAGAAAAGAAGAGCACAGGAAAGAACUUGAUGAAGAAAAGAAGUCCUUGAUGGCAAUAAGACACAAAAUAAUUCCUCCGUAUUUUGAAUCAGA